rnacentral:rRNA from 1 species
AGAAAGCCCUUCGGGGUGAGUAGAGCGGCGGACGGGUGAGUAACGCGUAGGAAUCUACCCAGUGGUGGGGGACAACAUGGGGAAACCCAUGCUAAUACCGCAUACGCCCUUCGGGGGAAAGCGGGGGACCUUCGGGCCUCGCGCCAUUGGAUGAGCCUGCGUUGGAUUAGCUAGUUGGUGGGGUAAAGGCCUACCAAGGCGACGAUCCAUAGCUGGUCUGAGAGGAUGAUCAGCCACACUGGGACUGAGACACGGCCCAGACUCCUACGGGAGGCAGCAGUGGGGAAUAUUGCACAAUGGGCGCAAGCCUGAUGCAGCCAUGCCGCGUGUGUGAAGAAGGCCUUAGGGUUGUAAAGCACUUUCAAUUGGGAAGAAAAGCUGUUGGCUAAUACCCAGCAGCCCUGACAUUACCUUUAGAAGAAGCACCGGCUAACUCCGUGCCAGCAGCCGCGGUAAUACGGAGGGUGCGAGCGUUAAUCGGAAUUACUGGGCGUAAAGCGCGCGUAGGCGGCGUGUUAAGUCGGAUGUGAAAGCCCCGGGCUCAACCUGGGAACUGCACCCGAUACUGGCAGGCUAGAGUACGAGAGAGGGAGGUAGAAU